ensembl:lncRNA
CUUCCUCUGCUCCGAAUAGACUCCAGUGGUUCCAGAUUCUGGAAAAAGGGACUGGAGACGCAGACUGGAACUCGCCGAGAGUAUCACCCACCUGAGACGCAGCAGGGUCCUGCAAAGCACAUUUCAGAAAGCUGAAGUGAAUUAAAAAGGAUUCAAGAUCUUCACCGGGUCUUGACUGGUCGUCAAGCGCAGCAGUUCUCCCAGCUGAAAACAAGAUAAGCUAAGAAGUAUAUUUUCGAAUAUUACGACUGUGUUUGCUUCCCUUAAAGCCUGGAAAGCAAAAUUAAAAUUAAGUCUGGUUUGGGUGUAAAUAAUAUAUUUAAGCUUAAAAAAAAGAAAACCUAACAACAGCGCGAGAG